CAGGAGUACCAUGUUCUGCCCCCAAAGAUAGUACCAAGAGGCAAUAGCACAGUCUCCUGUCCCCACUGCCAGCCUGUGAGGACCCAGGACGCAGGUGGUGCUGUCGCCAAGGACCCACUGAGACCAUCUCCCACUGAUGCCCCUCGAUGUCCCCUGUGUGGUCAAGCUGGGUCCCCUGGGUCCCCCGCAGAGGGUGACGGCCCAGACGCAGCCACCUCUGGGGCAGGAAAGUCCACAAGGAGGAACACACCUUCCGCUUCCAGCCCCAAGCAGAGGAGCAAACGAGCGGGGUCCCCACCCCCUUUGCCCUUCGGGACUGUGGUAUCUGGCUGCUGCGCCUUCGGGACCAGCCCCUCCCGCGUUUGCCUACGUCUCCUCGCUUCCUGUGAUGCCUUACCCGUCAGCCACUGUGUAAGAACCCCGUUCCCACCCUCCCAGCCUCUCUGUCUAAUUGCUUAAUAACUAGCAUGGGGCCGUGUCAGGCAGCGGAGCACCUGGGCGCAUGUACCUCUUUGUCUUCUCCUGCGUGUAUGAUGUGCCCGACUGGUGGGAGCAAAGGCAUAGGGCACCUUCGAGCCCCAGA